ACUAACAAGGAUUCCCCUAGUAACGGCGAGUGAAGCGGGAUGAGCUCAAAUUUAAAAUCUGGCUGCCUCAGGCGGUCCGAGUUGUAGUCUAGAGAAGCGUUUUCCGCGUUGGCCUGUGUACAAGUCCCUUGGAAUAGGGCGUCAUAGAGGGUGAGAAUCCCGUCCUUGACACAGAUCCCCAAUGCUUUGUGAUGCGCUCUCAAAGAGUCGAGUUGUUUGGGAAUGCAGCUCAAAAUGGGUGGUAAAUUCCAUCUAAAGCUAAAUAUUGGCGAGAGACCGAUAGCGAACAAGUACCGUGAGGGAAAGAUGAAAAGCACUUUGGAAAGAGAGUUAAACAGUACGUGAAAUUGUUGAAAGGGAAACGAUUGAAGUCAGUCAUGCUUUCUAGGACUCAGCCGGUUCUUCCGGUCUAUUUCCUAGUCAGCAGGCCAGCAUCAGUUUUGAUCGGUGGAAAAUGGUAGAAGGAACGUGGCUUCCUCGGAAGUGUUAUAGCCUUUUAUCGCAUACAUCGAACGGGACUGAGGAACGCAGCGUGCCUUUAUGGUCGGGGUUCGCCCACGAACGCGCUUAGGAUGCUG
rnacentral:rRNA from 1 species